rnacentral:rRNA from 1 species
UACGUAGGGUCCGAGCGUUGUCCGGAAUUAUUGGGCGUAAAGGGCUUGUAGGCGGUUUGUCGCGUCGGAAGUGAAAACUCAGGGCUUAACCCUGAGCCUGCUUCCGAUACGGGCAAACUAGAGGGAUGCAGGGGAGAACGGAAUUCCUGGUGGAGCGGUGGAAUGCGCAGAUAUCAGGAGGAACACCGGUGGCGAAGGCGGUUCUCUGGGCAUUUCCUGACGCUGAGAAGCGAAAGCGUGGGGAGCAAACAGG